rnacentral:lncRNA from 1 species
AAAAGGGUAGGCAAUUUUAGGAUACACUGGUGGUCCAUAGAGCAAAUGGCAAAGGGCUUGGUGGUUGGUAUCCGAGACUUAAGUUCGAAUCCUAGUUGAUUCACAUUUCUAGCUAAGUUUAUUUCUAAAUGAAAUAAACGAAGCGGAUAGCGUGCUACCUAUCUCUCUGAUGCUUUACAAUAUUAGAAGAAUACUCAAUUUGUGGAACAAAUCUUAUUAACCUAUAUUUCUUUCUCUCCAUUUUUUCCUCCCUCGCUUGUUUUUUUUUUCUUCAUUUUUGUCUUAUUUCGAGGCCCUACUGACUCAAUAUUUUUGCUAAAUUGAUAUCUCUUGAUAAGUAAAGCGGGGAGCUCGCUAUCUCUUCUCUCAAAAAAUAAAAGACAAUUAAGAGCAACGAAUCAAAUGAAAGAGAAAGAACAUUGCAAUAUAAAUAACAUAAGGAAACUCCGAACUUUUCACUCAAUUCAAUGCUAAACAUAAUAGAUGCUUGAAGAGUCCGGCUACUAUACUAUCGAUAGUACUAAGUUCUUGAUACUAUAUCGAAUUUUCUGUUAUUAGAUCUAUCAUUUAAUCAUUUCUACAUAUUAGAUUAUACUAUUCAAUCAACUACCCACUCAAUCCUAGGGGACUAUUAUCAUCCUAGCCGCACAUCCUUCCAUCUAACGGCCGAAAACUCAAUAACAUCAAGCAUUUAGUGCAAUCGAUAGUAUAGUAGCAUAAUUCGAUGCUUGAAAUUACCGAAAAGAUUGAUCUAGCAGAAAACAAUUAGGUAUUUGUCUUGACACCCUCUACAUGUAAACGAUAGAUAUCAAGAGAAGUAAUUGAAGUGACAACAAUAUUGAAAUCAACUCGAAAUAUAUAUCUUGAAAUGGAGGGAGAAUUAGAAGCGACUUUAAUUAAUUUAGCACUUAGAAACAAAAGCACCUCAAAAUUUUUGCAUUUGCAGACCCAGUGGCGUGUGGAAAUAAUUAAGAACACCAUAACACUAUUUAUCAACCUGACAUUCAUUCCAAUUAAAGCAUAUUAUAAAGAAUUAAUUAAUUAAAUCAAAUUAUAAUAAAGCGAUUAGUGUAAACUCUUAAUUAAUUCAUGUUGAGCACAUUGCUAGCUGGAUCUAAUUGUAACUUGGUUGUGUCGAUAAGGCCAUCUUAAGUUAAGGUCUCUCUAUAUAUUAUGUAAAAAAAAAUAUAUAUAUAUAUAUAUAGAGUCCGGCUAUGAUGCUUAUAAAAAUACAAAGCACUUGAUGCUUGUAAAUUUUUUACCGUUAGAUCUCUCCCUUUGAUCAUUUUUAUCCGUUAGAUUAUACUAUUCAACCAACCUCCCACUCAACCCUAGGGGGCCACAUCAUCCUAACCGCACAUUCCUUAAUCCAAGGGCCGAAAACUUACAAGCACCAAUGACUUGAUACUUUUAAAAGCAUAAGAGCUCAAUUAUAUAUAUAUAUAUAUAUA